rnacentral:tRNA from 1 species
GUGAUCAUGGUGUAAUAGCAGCAUUACGCUUUGUGAAAGCGUCGGUACCGGUGCAAAUCCGUUUGGUCACCCCA